rnacentral:rRNA from 1 species
UGUAAGCGUAUACCAAAGUUGUUGCAGUUAAAACGCUCGUAGUCGGAAUUUGGCAGUUCCGGAUGUGUGCACGUCGUGUGCGCACUUCGCGGGGAUUGCUUUUGUGGUCUUGCGUAGGAUGAGGCACUUUUAUUAGUGAACGUCCUCACGCAACCACUUUUUACUGUGAGAAAAUCAGAGUGCUCAAAGCAGGCAUUUGCCGUGAAUGUAUUAGCAUGGAAUAAUAGAAUAGGACUUGGUUCUAUUUUGUUGGUUUGUUGGGACUGAGUAAUGAUUAAGAGGGACAGUUGGGGGCAUUUGUAUUUCGGUGCUAGAGGUGAAAUUCUUAGAUUACCGAAAGACAAACUGCUGCGAAAGCAUUUGCCAAGGAUGUUUUCAUUGA